rnacentral:rRNA from 1 species
UACGUAGGGUGCAGGCGUUAAUCGGAAUUACUGGGCGUAAAGGGUGCGUAGGCGGCGGAGCAAGUCAGGUGUGAAAUCCCGGAGCUCAACUCCGGAACUGCAUUUGAUACUGCUUCGCUAGAGUACUGGAGAGGAGACUGGAAUUUACGGUGUAGCAGUGAAAUGCGUAGAUAUCGUAAGGAAGACCAGUGGCGAAGGCGAGUCUCUGGACAGUUACUGACGCUGAGGCACGAAGGCCAGGGGAGCAAACGGG